rnacentral:rRNA from 1 species
UACAGAGGGGGGCAAGCGUUGUUCGGAAUUACUGGGCGUAAAGGGCGCGUAGGCGCCUUCUAAGUCGAACGUGAAAUCCCCGGGCUCAACCCGGGAACUGCGUCCGAGACUGGAAGGCUCGAAUCCGGGAGAGGGAUGUGGAAUUCCAGGUGUAGCGGUGAAAUGCGUAGAUAUCUGGAGGAACAUCGGUGGCGAAGGCGGCAGUCCUGGACCGGUAGUUGACGCUGAGGCGCGAAAGCCAGGGGAGCAAAGCGGG